AGGCACAUACACGGUUCUUUACUGACACAUCCCUCUCUCUGUUUCAUCUUAACUGCAGGUAUCUUAAGCCAACCUAGCUUCAUCGGAAGAGCCACAACUUCAGUCUUUUUUAUUUGGGCUCUUUUGUCUAAAUGAAAGACUAACUCAGUGCCGUCUUAACUCAUUCAGAAGUUUAACAAUGCUGAUGGGCUGACUAGGAAAAUGGAUCACUCUCAAGUAGUGCUGGGAAGAUGAGCUGGUUAAUUGUCUAAAAGAACGAUGUUGGAGAGAGAAUGUCUACACGAUAUUGGUGUAGGAUAGAAGCUAAACAACCUAUAAACCAAAGCCCCCUGCUACCCUGACCCUCACUACCGAAUAUUCAUCCUUUUCAGAGUCUGGAUGUAUAAAACUGAGAUAAGCGAUGUUUUAAGAGAGCGAGCAUCAGUAAUAGAAACAUACCUCUGUGCUUCCCUGUGAAGAAUUAUCCAGGCCUGGCUGUGAAACCAGUGUAUCAGGCUGCCAGGGAGCAGAUAGAGUCGGGAUUGGGGCCUCUGAAGAGCUGAGAGAGGGUCAUGAACUCUGUUAAAAUAAGCAGGCAUUUCCCCACCUUUGGGCAGCUCACAAGCCUAUCUUACCCUGUGAAGCACAAGAGAGUGGGUCAGGGAUAUAAUUGAGC
rnacentral:lncRNA from 1 species